CUACGGGAUACUGCAGUGAGGAAUAUUGCACAAUGGGGGGAACCCUGAUGCAGCAACGCCGCGUGGAGGAUGACGCAUUUCGGUGUGUAAACUCCUUUUAUAUGUCAAGAAAAUGACGGUAGCAUAUGAAUAAGCGCCGGCUAACUCCGUGCCAGCAGCCGCGGUAAUACGGAGGGCGCAAGCGUUACUCGGAAUCACUGGGCGUAAAGGACGCGUAGGCGGGUUGAAAAGUCAGGUGUGAAAGCCUACAGCUUAACUGUAGAACUGCACUUGAAACUCUCAAUCUAGAGUAUGGGAGGGGCAGAUGGAAUUAGUGGUGUAGGGGUAAAAUCCGUAGAUAUCGCUAGGAAUACCUAAAGCGAAGGCGAUCUGCUGGAACAUUACUGACGCUAAGGCGUGAAAGCGUGGGGAGCAAACAGGAUUAGAUACCCUUGUAGUC
rnacentral:rRNA from 1 species